rnacentral:rRNA from 1 species
GACGAACGCUGGCGGCGUGCCUAAUACAUGCAAGUCGAACGCUUUUUCUUUCACCGGAGCUUGCUCCAUCGAAAGAAAAAGAGUGGCGAACGGGUGAGUAACACGUGGGUAACCUGCCCAUCAGAAGGGGAUAACACUUGGAAACAGGUGCUAAUACCGUAUAACACUAUUUUCCGCAUGGAAGAAAGUUGAAAGGCGCUUUUGCGUCACUGAUGGAUGGACCCGCGGUGCAUUAGCUAGUUGGUGAGGUAACGGCUCACCAAGGCAACGAUGCAUAGCCGACCUGAGAGGGUGAUCGGCCACACUGGGACUGAGACACGGCCCAGACUCCUACGGGAGGCAGCAGUAGGGAAACUUCGGCAAUGGACGAAAGUCUGACCGAGCAACGCCGCGUGAGUGAAGAAGGUUUUCGGAUCGUAAAACUCUGUUGUUAGAGAAGAACAAGGAUGAGAGUAAAAUGUUCAUCCCUUGACGGUAUCUAACCAGAAAGCCACGGCUAACUACGUGCCAGCAGCCGCCGUAA